UACGUAGGUGGCAAGCGUUAUCCGGAAUUACUGGGUGUAAAGGGAGCGUAGACGGUAUGGUAAGUCAGAUGUGAAAGCCCGGGGCUCAACCCCGGGACUGCAUUUGAAACUAUCAAACUGGAGUGCAGGAGAGGUAAGUGGAAUUCCUAGUGUAGCGGUGAAAUGCGUAGAUAUUAGGAGGAACACCAGUGGCGAAGGCGGCUUACUGGACUGUAACUGACGUUGAGGCUCGAAAGCGUGGGGAGCAAACAGGAUUAGAUACCCCUGUAGUCCCUGAG
rnacentral:rRNA from 1 species